AGGAUUUUCUUUUUCUGAACAUUGAGUCUUGGACUAGUAAGAACUAGUGCAUAUGUUUAGACAAAUGUUAUUUUUAAAUGUAUAAUCCAGAUGGUAUAGCUAGGGUGUAUAGCCUGUUGGGGGGGUCUACUUAAAAUUGGGUGAUUUGUGUCUGAUAGAAUUUAACUCAAAACAGAAGGUUCAGAAUCCAUUCAUUUAAAGCUUUCUACUUAGUACCUGCCAUAUGCCUGGCUCGUAGUAGUUGUGAGGUGAUAGAAAAAGUAGAUAUAGUCACUCCAAGGUUGUGUGAGUGAGUGCUGCUGCUGUUACAAAGUAAUGGCAAGAACUCGGAAUUUGCCUAGGAAAAGUGCACAGCUGAGCCAGGGUAGGAGCUGAGGUGGGAGAUACUCGUAGCCUGGACUUGAGGUAGCUGUGACAAUUCUCCAACUUGUAAAGAAGCCCUAGGCCUGAAGAGAUCACUUAGCAAUUAAGAGUGCUUGUCUUACAGAGGACCAGGGUUUCGUUCUCAGCACCCACGGGUUGACUCAAGUUUCAGGGCUUUGGAUGCUCUUGGCACCAAACACACAACACACAUGUGGAGCACAUUCAUACAUGCAGGCAAAACACCUAUCCCCAGAAGAUAAUUUUAAAUGUUUUAAAGAGGCCCUGCAUAAAAGGAUCGUAGAAGACCUAAGAUGUUUGGACAAGUAAUGCAUUACAUGCUAACCACGACGCUGAGGCAGGAAGCAGAAUCUCCUCCGGUUAACUAUUGGAAGAGCGUCAGCAGCUCAGGCAGCCAGGAGUCCUGGCACUGGCUGGAAUCAUGGUUUCCGAACAAACAGUAAAUCCCAAGGGUGAACCAAGCAAGAAACAAAUUUCACCAGAAAGUAGCACCUCAGAUACAUCAUCCUCAAAACAAGCUUUGUCCACACUGCAGAAGGAGGAAGAAAUCCUGUGAGUAUAUCAGUGUUCUACACAACUCACUAAGACAGAUGUUUACUGAAAGGAAUUAGUUCACAAUUUUGGAGACAUCCCAGGGGGUACCCCUUCAAUCUGCCAUCUGCAAGCUCACCAGCCAGGGAAGGUAGAGGUAUCAUUCAGCUUGGCUGGGAACAAUGGAGAGCUGCUUGCUUGGCAAGCUGCUUUGUUAUUGUUAUUCAGUGAACUACAUGUUUUCGCCCUGGCCUUUACCUUGAAACAGGGAUAAGCAGGUUGUUUUGCCAAGUUCCUUUAGCUUGUUUGUGUGACCUUGGACCAUUUCUGCUAUACAGAGAAGUGGUCUAAGGAAACAUGUUUGGCUGCUCCUCG
rnacentral:lncRNA from 1 species